UGAGGACUGCUCGUCCCCUCUAUACACGUUCAGUUCAUACAACGACAGUAUUCACAGUUGUAAAACAAGGUAUUACAAUUUCUAUGCAGUGAAAGUUUCAAUGGCUGCCUUAACCGACGCGAGGCCCCAGGCGAAAGCAAAACAAACGGGAAUCGAACGUAAGACCUCAGCGGGUUAAACACAAGUUCGCUGCCACUAAAUCAAGAAGAUAAGCCCAGCCCAUCUAUAUCUAUGCCGUUAGCAGGGACUCUGACGCGGAAGCGGCUUUAUUUACAAAACAAAAUGAAUAAAGAUGUGUUAAGCCCACUCCGCGUUAAAAUGGUAAAAGGCCAAGCAGAAAAAGAUCGAAUAAUAAAGUCCGGCGCGUCGCUUAAUAUUCCCCGUGUGUUUGUGACACUUGACCAAUAAACGAUUGUGUGCAUACUAAUGUUACCUUUUAGUUUAAAUUAAGAACGUCUAGCCCUAGGCAUUCUAAAAUACUGAAGACGUGCUAUUGCAUGUCUGUAAUUAUUUAUUAUGAUACCAUCAAAAAGUUUGAGGGCAUGUUUUACAACUUCUGAGUAAAUCCUAUUCCUCACCUAAAUGUGUAAGCCGACAAAAUAAAAGUCACAUUCUGAUCGAGGCUCCCAAACAAAUGGUAAUACGUAGAUGUUCGCCAUACAUGUUCGCCUUCUAACCAAAUUUGAGCCAAAGCUAUGGAUUGUAAUUUUUAACGUCAUACUCAAAGGACUGUUCUAGUUUAUACAAAAUCUUUAUACACACUUUGUUUUUUCAGACUGUUGAUAAGACUCACAUCAUAUCUACAGACAUUUUUAUCAGUUCUAAUUUAUGAAUUGCCUAUGACAUGAGAUGACAAACAAAUUUUAAUAUGUAAAGUUGUUUGAGUUCCGUAAGACAUCGGAAAGUAACGUAUUUUCUCGGUUUAAAAUCCACCUUUAUAUUUUCUUGGGAUGAAAUAGAACAUAUAUUUUAAGUUAGACCUCUUGUAAUACAUGCAGUAAUUUUUGCGUGAUGCUUGUACAUAUAACUGUUGUUUCGGCUUCCGUUGUUCGAAUAAAGACCCCCUAUUAGUUUUUCUUCAACAUCUACAAUGUACAGAUAUCGAUCUGAUACAAUUUUAUUAUAUGUAAAAUAAUGUGUAUCUAAUAAUAUACCUUAGUACAGCUUCUCCACGAUCCGUAAAUCUCGAUACCGUUGUUUAGUAUUUAUUUAGUUAUGUUUUAAGAAGAGGCUAUAAG